rnacentral:rRNA from 1 species
UACGAAGGGGGCUAGCGUUACUCGGAAUCAUUGGGCGUAAAGCGUGCGUAGGUGGUUUGGAAAGUUGGAAGUGAAAUCCUCGGGCUUAACCUGAGAACUGCUCCCAAAACUUCCAGACUAGAGUAUCAGAAAAGAUAGUGGAAUUCCUAGUGUAGAGGUGAAAUUCGUAGAUAUUAGGAGGAACGUCGGAAGCGAAAGCGACUAUCUAGCUGAAUACUGACACUGUUGCACGAAAGCGUGGGGAGCAAACAGG